AAGUCGUAACAAGUUUUCCGUAGGUGAACCUGUAGUUCGCAAUCUCUGAUAAAUCAUAGCCCGGAAAGUUGUAGUGACACAGAGACCUCUGGCUACGUGCGAACAUUGGAACAGUUACAAUCGAGCGGUAGUUCUAUAGGCAAUGUUUCCCCAAGCAGUCAGUGUCGGAAAGUGUCAUUGAUUGUGCAAGGAUAGCGCUUCUACGAUUCCUGUAGACCGUACACUCGGGCAGGAGCUUUGCCAAAGGGUCCCCAUGCCCCCUAAUAACCCCACAGUUUAAUGUGAAGCUCAAUGUAAUACAUUGGGUAAAAAAACCGAACAACUGUUAACAAUGGAUAUCUUGGUUCUC
rnacentral:misc_RNA from 1 species